AUCGAAGGUCACGGAGAUCAUUACGUAAAACGUGCCAUGCAGUGGUGUAGAGACCCAUCCCCCAGCAACGUCAAAUUCAGAAGGAAAAGCCAGUUUUGCCUCGCACGUCUUUCAUAAUCGAAGGUCACGGAGAUCAUUAUGUAAAACGCGUCAUGCAGUGGUGUAGAGGUUGGGUGAGAAUCAAAACCAUUUGGUUUUCAUUUUGAUAUUGGUUGUUUGUAGACCCAUCCCCCAGCUACGUCAAAAUGCAGAACGAAAGGCCAUUUUUCAUGUCUUUCAUAAUCGAAGGUCACGGAGAUCAUUACGUAAAACGUGCCAUGCAGUGGUGUAGAGGUUGGGUAAGAACGGGAUGUGUUGCUUCAUCAUCAAUUUGGUACAAUAGCCGCAAGGCUUAAAAGGUGGGUCAGGGUGAGAAAAAGUCGUAUAAAAGGAGAGAGAAAAGGCGAUAGAGAUCAGUCGAGUGAGCAUCUCCGACACGGCAACACCUGCAGCGCACUAUUGGUGCCUUCAUUAUCGUAUUACAUCAGUUCGCAAUCAUGGUUAACUAUGGCGUUGUGCUGAUGUCGGGUGUUGUAUCGUUGAUGGCUGCGUCGACCACAGGUGUACUAAUGUCUCCUGGGUAUGGUGGAUACCAAGCAACAGCACCGAAAGAAGACUACACCACGUCACCGCCUCACUACAAAAAAAUGUUAACGUACGCAACACCUACUUACUACACCGAGGCCCCCAACUAGUACACCACCGAGGCUUCAGAGUAUUACACGAAAACUUAUGCUGCCCCGAGCUACUACGUCGAAGCCACCAAGUAUUACUCUGCCCCGAGAUGCAUCACCAAAGCGCUUGAGUACUAUACCGAGGCUCAAGUUUAUUACACCACUAAAGCUGUCGAAUACUACACCGAAGCGCCCAAGUACUACAAUGCAACAUAGACUGCCCCAGCUUAGCACACGGGAGGCACCGGCGAGCACCGGAGUACUACUACACCACCCCCGAGGCACUGAAGUACUACUACACCACCCCCGAGGCACCGGAGUACUACUACACCACCACCGAGGCACCGGAGUACUACUACACCACCACCGAGGCACCGGAGUACUACUACACCACCACCGAGGCACCGGAGUACUACUACACCACCACCGAGGCACCGGAGUACUACUACACCACCACCGAGGCACCGGAGUACUACUACACCACCACCGAGGCACCGGAGUACUACUACACCACCACCGAGGCACCGGAGUACUACUACACCACCACCGAGGCACCGGAGUACUACUACACCACCACCGAGGCACCGGAGUACUACUACACCACCACCGAGGCACCGGAGUACUACUACACCACCACCACCGAGGCACCGGAGUACUACACAACUACUUACGCUACUCCGACCUACUACACCGAAGCUCCAAAGCACUACUCUACCCCGAGUUACUACACUACUAAGGCUCCUUAAUACUUGAGUCGAAAUUUCUAUUAUCAUUUAAAUUCGUCGGUUAUCUUCAUGGUUACUAGUGACUAUGAAUUGAUUGUUGAUCUUAAACGAGAAAAUAAAAAAUACUAAAGAAUAAGACUUUUAUUAAUACCUACCUUUUCGACAUUUCGACAGGCGUUUCUAUUUGUGUUGACUUCUUCAAUGUUAGUAUGCUGUGUUAUGAUUUGUUUGUUUCAUGUAUUAGAGAUGACUACUGCCUUAGUUGCUUGGCAUACGGACAUUCUUCUGCUUUGACGAUUGUUUUAGAGUAAGUUGCGAAAGAAAGGUGCUGCGUUAAGUAUACUCUAAAUUUUGAUUUUGAA